rnacentral:rRNA from 1 species
AAUCAACGCUGGCGGCGUGCCUAACACAUGCAAGUCGAACGCGAAAGCCCGCAAGGGUAAGUAGAGUGGCGCACGGGUGAGUAACACGUGGACAACCUGCCUUCGAGUGGGGAAUAACCUUCCGAAAGGAGGGCUAAUACCGCAUAACACCUCGGGACACAAGUUCUGGGGUUGAAAAGAGCAAUUUGCUCGAAGAGGGGUCCGCGCCUGAUUAGCUAGUUGGUGAGGUAACGGCUCACCAAGGCUUCGAUCAGUAGCCGUCCUGAGAGGGAGCACGGCCACACUGGAACUGGA